rnacentral:rRNA from 1 species
UAUGUGAUCGUCUCUCGCAUAUCAAUAAGCGGAGGAAAAGAAACUAACAAGGAUUCCCCUAGUAACGGCGAGUGAAGCGGGAAGAGCUCAAAUUUGAAAUCUUAAAGGGUUUCCCUUUACGAAUUGUAGUUUAAAGAAGUGUUUUCUGUUGAGGUUUUGGUAAAAGUUCUUUGGAAUAGGACAUCAUAGAGGGUGAGAAUCCCGUAGUUUGACCUUUACUUUCAACUUUGUGAUACACUUUCAAAGAGUCGGAUUGUUUGGGAAUGCAGUCCAAAAUGGGUGGUAAAUUUCAUCUAAAGCUAAAUAUUGGCGAGAGACCGAUAGCGAACAAGUACCGUGAGGGAAAGAUGAAAAGAACUUUGAAAAGAGAGUUAAACAGUACGUGAAAUUGUCAAAAGGGAAGCGUUUGACACCAGUGUUGUUUUUCUGAAAAUCAAUUAAAGAACUGUUUAUGCUAAGCUGUUUAGACUUUAUCAGCUAACUGUUUAGUUUUGAGCUUUUCUUUAAUGCACUUUUCAGUUAACAAGUCAACAUCAAUUUCUUUUGCUGUAAAAAAGCUUGAGGGAGGUGGCUUGAGAUUCGUCCUUAAGUGUUUAUAGCCUCUUGCCUAUGCAGUCGGAGAGAUUGAGGUCUGCAGCGUAGAUCCUUCGGGGCUAAAUGCAUUUGUGCUAAGUUAUAGCAUUUUAUAGACAACUUGUUGACUAUGAUUUGUCUUGUAGCUUACUCGCUUAUGUUAUUUUACCUACGCUUAGGAUGUUGAACGCGCACAGAGUCUC